rnacentral:lncRNA from 1 species
AUGCUCAAAUCCGUCCCCGAUAUGAAGCCGGCAUUUCCCUGGCCAGCGCCGGGGGGCUUCGAACAUGGGGCCGGGGAGUCGGAAGGCCUCAAUCUUGCACCGCCUUCCCCUGGAGCGGAGCUUUCCUUUAUAAGACCGCGCGGAAGGCUCCGAGGAGAAGGAAGAAUCCGCACCGGGAAGGGAAAGAAGGCAGGCAGCCAGGGAGGCUUGUCCCCUUAUGCUGGGGGGUCCGUGACCCCCGCCGGCUCUUUAUUUACCUGGAGGAAGACAUCCAGAUGGGAAGGGGAGCGAGGCCUGGGGAGCCACCAGCCGCCUCACCGGCCCUUCCAGCCAUCCAUCCAUCCAGCCAUCCAUCGUGCCCAGCUGGCCGAGAAACUACUGGGAACAGCUCAGGAACGGGGACGUGCCUCACCUUACCAGGGGCGCCCCCAGCAAGAACAGACGGCGGCCGGCUCACACCCGGGCCAGAACACGGAGCAAACACACUGGGAGAGAACAAAGAAAAGCUCACAGCCCGCCCCGGAGGACCUGCAGCCCACAUCCGAGGGGAAGAAGAACCUGCGGCUCCGGGGACACGGCGGACCCGUAAAGUGGAGCAGACAGUUCAGCGCCCUUUCCAGGGCUCGCCCUCCGCAGGCGGACCCAAACCCGCCAAGGCCAGUCUGGAGGGAGAUGAUGAGGGCGGAUGGGCAGGGCGAGCCGGCCCGGCUUCGCUGUAACGAUGGUCAGCGAUGCCAGGCUGCCAAGCCGCAACAAGAGGAUUCUGUUUGUGUCGGUCGCGUUGGUCGCCCAAGAAUCGCAGUUGGAGUCCUUUAAGGGAAAACGCUCCCAAGGGCGGGUGGGUGUGUGUUAGGUGACUGGAGAGCCGCGGAGGCCGCCCUGGCCAGAGAGAUCGGCUCAACGAGAGAUCGUGCAAGAGCCGCUUCACGCAGAAGAUCUCGGGAAAGGAAGGCCCGAAGACUCAUUCACGGCACCCCCCUCUGCCAGGCCCCGCCCUCCGCCAACGCCAACGUACACCCCCAGACCCUGGCGGGCCGGCUGGCUACCGGGCUCCUCGUUUUCCUUCUCGUUUGGGGUUCAUCCUGGGGAAUUCCAGAGACAGUUGGGGAGGGAGGGAGGGAGCGAGCGAGCGAGUUAUUUAUCCGGGGAAAAGGGCGACUGGGGGCGUCCUCCUAGCCGCUGGAAUAGGCUGGCCAGGAUUCUCUGAACUUUUCUCCCGACCCCGAAGGGCUAACCAGGGGGCAACGUGCCGGGCCACGCGGCUUCCUGCCGCCCCCCCCCCCCCCCACUCUGGCAAGAACGUGCUUCUCGUGACCCGAAAGGCAGCAGGAGGCGAAGAGCCUCUCGGGCCUCGCAAGCCCUUGGCCAACAGCACGUCAGUCAGUCAGGGUCUCUGGGGAAAGACCCGGAUUCUUGACAGCCGGCACACAAAGGCCAGGUAGAAGGAGACGCUGCUCGGAGCUUCGUGUCUCCACUCCGUGACUUGGGUUGGAGAAGAGGAUUUUCUUGUGAUGCCAAAAGCCCAAGAAAGAAAAACACACAAAGAAGCCCGUUAAGGGGAAAAUAGAGAAAGGCCCAGAAACAAGGCAUUCUCGUAAGGACUGGUGUGGCUGCCAUCUCGAAGCCCUGACGGAGGUCUCUGGAGAACACGAAUCGUUAAACACUCAUUAAGCGCCUGCUGUGUGCCCGGCAGGAUGCUAAGCCCUGCUAACCCAGAGAGGACUCGUCUGGGCAUCCUCGCCUGGCCUGCUCCUGGCUACCGUCUUCAGGCAAGGCAGACAGCCCAAAGCUUGGCCUGGAGCAGCUCCCACCCUGGCCUGCGGUCACUGGCCUGGCCUUGACUCUCUCAAAGGGGACUCCCGUCCAGUAAGGAUCACUACGUAGACACAGAGGAAGCGCAGGGAGGGCCCAGCAUGCUCAGCAGUCCCAGAAGCCCUCUCUGCUCAUGGCUAGUCCACUGCCACCUCCUGGGGCUGUGAGAAGGGGGCCUCCAUGGUCAGCACUCCUGGGCCCCCGUCUCACCGCCCGUCACCUCCCCUGGGCAGACUGGGCAGGGACAAAGGCAGGGGGGCCCUGGGUGGGGUUCCUCCUGCUCCUAGGAGAAAAUGGAGAAACUACCCCAGCCUGGCCAGUCUUGCCAUCCCACAUGCCCAGGUGUUGGCCUGCCCCACGUCCUGAUGCACUAACAUCAAUGGGGACCUCCUGGCCCCGGCAGCGGGGAAAAGACAGCCUGGGGAACGGCCCCACAGGAGGGGGGGACACUCGAGGGCCUGCCUCAGAAGGAGCUGAGAGAUGAGAGCCUUGUGGGACCAGCAGGGAGACCCAUGAGAAGCGGGUGCAUCAGUGGGCACAUCCAGGGAGGGGGGCAGACACAUGGCGGCGGGUCACAACUGGGAGGGCCUGAGAUUGGAAAAUGCUAAAGGGGGCCUCUAGGCUGGCUGCUCCAUUUGCUUCUUUGGGUCUCAGUUUACCUCUGGGGCUUCCCAGCUCUCUCUCGACCUGGAAAUAGAUGUAUGCAGACACAGACAGACAGACAGUCAGACACACAGACAGACACUUUAGAUUUCUUUUCAGCCAAAGACUUUCUCUCUCUAAACUGACCCUACGUUUUCUCGCCAUGAAUCAGAGACAAAAGGUGAAAUAUUAUCCUGGCCUCUUAUGGAGGCUCUUAUUUCUAUAAUCACUUUUGCUAAGGGGACUGGCAACAUGAGCAGCCUGACUCUCAGGGAUUAAGGAACUGUGUGUGAGUGUGUAUGUGAGUGUGUGUGAGUGUGAGUGUGUGUAAGUGUAUGUGUGAGUGAGUGUGUGUAUGUGAUUGUGUGAGUGAGUGUGAGUGUGUGUAUGUGUGAGUGAAUGUGAGUGUGUGUAUGUGAUUGUGUGUGAGUGAAUGUGAGUGAGUGUGUGUGAGUGUGUGUAAGUGUAUGUGUGAGUGAGUGUGUGUAUGUGAUUGUGUGAGUGAGUGAGUGUGAGUGUGUGUGUGAGUGAAUGUGAGUGUGUGUAUGUGAUUGUGUGUGAGUGAAUGUGAGUGUGAGUGUGUGAGUGUGAGUGUGUGUAAGUGUAUGUGUGUGUGUGUGUGUACACCUAUUCCCCUGUUUGCGGAGGCUUCCCUGAGCCCCAAACAACUGGCAAGAUUGCAAACCAGAUGAAAAUAUGAUAACAAAUAAAACCUCUCAGAAGUCCA